rnacentral:rRNA from 1 species
GCACAUUUGCUUACUUUUUCAUGAUAGAGUAUUAUUCGAUAAUUGAAUUCAAAUCCUUUUUUGAAGCUUUAAUUAUGAUUCAAAGCUAGGCCUUAAAUAGUGUUUAUAGUAACUCACUUCUCCUUUCCUAUGGGUAACACCUUGACCUGAUUUAUUAAGAGGGCUUGUUUAGGAUGUGUUUUAUUGAAUCAUUCUUAAAACGGCGGUAUAUAGACUUUUGAGGAAAGUGAGAUUUAACGGGGAUUGUCGAUUAUGAAGCAAGUUCCUCUGAUUAGGGCUAAUGCCGCCAAACUACAUUGGUUUUUCUUGGGGAUACUACCUGAUAAGAGAGGGA